UAAAGGCUGCUCUGUGACGUCAUAUCCAUGCGGCAUCUUUGUCAGUGAACAAAAUGGCGACGUACACCCUGACCGCCCGCAGGCUGCAGCAAGCCCUUAGUCAUGGGGUUCGGAGGUACCAUCUCUCCGCCAUGCGUCGGCGAGCCAAAGUAGUCAUGAGUCGCUUCGAGCCCAACGAGUACAUCAAUUAUGAGUUGCUGCGGAAAAACGUUGACAUCGUUCACAAAAGGUUGGACAAGCCCUUGACGCUUUCAGAAAAGAUCGUGUAUGGUCAUUUGGAUGACCCUGUUAACCAAGAGAUAGGUCGCGGGAGAACUUACCUGCGCCUCCGUCCUGAUCGGGUGGCGAUGCAAGAUGCCACUGCUCAGAUGGCCAUGCUUCAGUUUAUCAGCAGUGGGUUGCCCCGGGUAGCCGUGCCAUCUACAAUCCACUGUGACCACUUAAUCGAGGCUCAGGUCGGCGGAGAAAAGGAUCUGGCAAGAGCCAAGGAUAUGAAUAAAGAAGUUUAUGAUUUCUUGGCAACGGCAGGUGCGAAGUAUGGGGUCGGUUUUUGGAAACCUGGCUCUGGCAUCAUCCAUCAGAUUAUUUUGGAGAACUAUGCUUAUCCUGGCAUCCUGCUGAUUGGCACAGACUCCCAUACUCCUAAUGGUGGUGGUCUGGGUGGCAUCUGCAUAGGAGUUGGAGGAGCGGAUGCAGUCGAUGUGAUGGCAGGAAUUCCUUGGGAACUGAAGUGUCCAAAGGUUAUCGGGGUGAAGCUCACAGGACAUCUGUCAGGCUGGACUUCACCAAAGGAUGUUAUCUUGAAAGUGGCAGGCAUUUUGACAGUUAAAGGGGGCACUGGUGCAAUAGUGGAAUAUCAUGGGCCAGGUGUGGAGUCCAUAUCUUGCACAGGCAUGGCUACGAUCUGCAACAUGGGUGCUGAGAUUGGAGCAACCACAUCAGUUUUCCCCUAUAAUCACAGGAUGAAGAAAUACAUGGAAAAGACUGGCAGAGCAGAGAUUGCUGCCGUUGCUGAUGAGUUCCAGGACCUGCUCGUUCCUGAUGAGGGCUGUGAAUAUGAUCAACUCAUUGAAAUCAACCUCACUGAGCUUAAACCACAUAUUAAUGGUCCUUUCACCCCUGACCUUGCACACCCAGUGUCAGAGAUUGGGACAGCUGCUGAGAAAAACGGUUGGCCUCUUGAUAUUCGAGUAGGUCUGAUUGGCAGCUGCACCAACAGUAGUUACGAGGAUAUGGGUCGUUCAGCUGCUGUGGCACAACAGGCAAUCGACCAUGGACUUAAGUGCAAGUCCCAGUUCACCGUAACACCAGGAUCCGAGCAGAUCCGUGCUACCAUCGAGAGAGAUGGAUAUGCUCAAGUUCUGAGGGAUGUCGGUGGGAUUGUUCUUGCUAAUGCGUGUGGGCCCUGCAUUGGACAGUGGGACAGGCGAGAUGUCAAGAAAGGUGAGAAGAACACAAUUGUGACGUCCUACAACAGGAACUUCACUGGACGCAAUGAUGCCAACCCUGCUACCCAUGCCUUUGUCACAUCACCCGAGAUUGUUACAGCCUUAUCCAUUGCUGGCACCCUGAAAUUUGACCCCGAGCGUGACUCGCUGACUGGAGCCGAUGGGAAGAAGUUUAAACUGAAGGCACCAAAUGCUGAUGAGCUGCCCAGCAAGGACUUUGAUCCUGGCCAGGACACUUAUCAGUACCCACCAGAAGACCCCAAGGGCAUCGAAGUGAAUGUCAACCCCCAGAGCCAGCGGCUGCAACUAUUGGCACCAUUUGAUAAGUGGGACAAGAAAGACUUGGUGGACAUGCGCGUGUUGAUUAAGGUAAAAGGCAAAUGUACCACAGAUCACAUAUCUGCUGCUGGGCCUUGGCUGAAGUUCCGUGGUCACCUUGAUAAUAUUUCCAAUAACCUGCUAAUCGGAGCUAUUAACAUCGAGAAUAACAAAGCAAACGAGGUCAAAAACCAUAUCAGCAACGAAUAUGAACCAGUACCUGACACAGCACGUGCUUACAAGAAACGUGGUAUCAAAUGGGUGGUGAUUGGUGAUGAGAACUACGGCGAGGGUUCCAGCCGUGAACACGCUGCCCUUGAGCCUCGGCACCUGGGAGGUCGAGCCAUCAUCGUCAAGAGCUUUGCUCGAAUUCACGAAACCAACCUGAAGAAGCAAGGCCUGCUGCCCCUGACCUUCUCCGAUCCCAGUGAUUACGACAAGGUGCAACCGGAUGAUAAAGUCUCCAUCACUGGGCUGAAUGAAUUUGCACCUGGAAAGCCUCUCACUUGUAUCCUUAAACACAAGGAUGGCAGCCAGGAUACAAUUCUACUCAACCACAGCUUCAACGAGGGACAAAUUGAAUGGUUCAAAGCCGGCAGUGCCCUCAACAGAAUGAAGGAACUGCAGAAAUAAGGCAACAGGCUGCAGAGAGGGAAAUGAACUGUGUCAAAGCACGAUUGUAUUAAUGGAGCCAUCCCUCUGCCAUGUCCGCCACUCAUCCUCCAGUAAUCAUUACCGUGACGUUCAGCAGUUGUACCCACUCCCUUCUGAGGGACAAUUGACAUUUGGCCUGCGCUUGUGAUUUGUUUUUUUUUUAAAUAUAAUUUGUUCAUUGUCUCCUACCUCGGCGUGGUGAAUGGAGCCCAAUCCCCAUCAGCCGCUUGGAAAUUAUUUAUUUGCAAGUUUUGUUUUGUCCCACCCCUGCCCCAACCUACCAGUGGGAAAGCAAGUACCAGUUCUACUUGAGGCAUUUGGGAUUGCCCUAUUAAAGCAUCACAGUCUGUAUGGUAAAAACCCUCCCACAGUACCGUUGGAAAGGGACUUGUAUUUUGGCUCAGUGAGGAAGGAAUAGGAAUGUACCAAUGGCUUGGCUCACUAAAAGUUGCCCACGGUUCUUGUGUUCAAUCUCCACUCAGUAACGCGUUUGGCUCCAUGUGAUGUGCUUGCCAGUCUUCACCUGUGAUCAAAUAGACACUGAGGUGAUGUGUCUGUCGCUGUGGUAGUGAAGUUGCUGUGCACCCACUGCCAUUGUUUGGAGUGAUGUUGCCUUGGAGAAUGGAUAUCACAGCCACAGUCUGCUGAUGAUUCUGGGCUCCACCAAGCACACUGCUUUGUCCUAGAUUUAUUACUUCAUUUGUACCCAUCAAGGCGUAAAUAUUCCAUCACUGACCUGCCAAAGUAUUAGAGGUCUGUGAGGAGAACCUCUCUAACCCACCCAACCAGCCAUGGUAUUAACCUUGCUGGCCACUGGUGUUCCCCAGCUGCUUGUUGUUGGCAGAUUUGGCUUUGUCUUUGAAACUUAAGGAGAGGUGGUCAGGAUCUGCCUUGAAGAUGGUGUCAAUAUCAUUUAUCGCUUUGUGGGGAUGGUCUAGCUGUAGAUAGUUCUAAGAUGCUGUCUUACAGGAACUUCUGCAGCGAUGUACUGUGACUGAUGAAUGUCAUUCAUGUCUGCCUUUCAUGUGACUCCAACCCUGGUGACCCUUUGAGUUUUGCAAGUAUUCCUCCAUGCCAUUGUCCGAAUCCUGAUGUGAUCCUACAAUUUGGGUCGUGUUCGUGUUUGGACUGAGGCUGUAACAAGGUCCGGAGUUUGAACAGUGCUGGCAAAACUCACUGAAUGUUAGAGAUCGGAUUAUUGCUGGGUGCCAGUUGAUGGCAGAAUUGAUGACUCUCUCCGUCACCUUUCUAGGGAUUGAGAAGGGGGUGAUAAGGCAGCGAUAUAAGAACAUGGGUGAUCAAAGCAGGAGGCAAUCACGGAGUCUGUAUGUUCUCCUUGUGAUGACCUGGGUUUAGACCCACAUCCUAAAGACAUGUUCGUAGGUUAGUUGCUGCUGUAAGUAGUCCCUGAUAUAGGUGGGUGGCAGGAGGAUUAAUGCUGUGUUGAUGGGCAUGUGAGAGCGUGAGAGGGAAUAGGUUGGGAGCUUGCAGGGAAAUGUGGGGGGAUGGGACUGAUGGGAUUGAAUGGAGCUGGCAUUAGAGUUGAUGGGCUGAACAGCCUCCUAUGUCACGAGAAAAUAUUAAACAUGGCUGCUGGAUAACGUGGUCUUUUUUGACAAUGUGCAAUCUAAUCGGGAGUUUAGAAAAUUUGGGAAUUUUACCUUUCUUUUUUUUUUAAAAGAAACAGCAGUCUUGGCACUUACCCCCACGGUAACUGUCUUCAAGCCAGUUUCUGCUGUUGACCCUUAAAUUCAAUGGGUCACAGUUUUACUCCUUAACCUUUUGUGUAAUCCUUUGUACGGAUCUUUAGAACGUGCUUGAUGAGCAUCAACUGCUGCAUCCCUCCUCACCAACCUCCUGUGUGACCUCAUCAAAAAUUCAAUCAAUUUUUUUUUACUGUAUAUUGACUAACAUUUGCCAGAGCUUCCAACACCAGACAGCAUAGGUUUGAGGUGACGGGUCAAAGGUUUUGAGGGGAUCUGAGGAAGAAUUUUCUUCACACAAAGGGUGGUUGGAAUCUAGAACUUUGCCUGAGAAGAUGGUGGAGACAGACGCUUUCACAAUGUAGCUGAUAAGCACUGGAAUUGCAGAAGGCUAUCGACCAAGGGCUGGUAAAUGAGAUUAAUAUAGGUAGAUACUUGAUGGUUGGCAUAGACACGGUGGGCUGAAGGGCCUGUUUCUGUGCUGUAUGACUCUAUGAUAAGGACUAGGGGGCACAUUUAAAGUUCUGGCCCAAAGGUAGAUGAAAGUGGAAGGUGAGGAAAGAGUUUUGCAGAGUACUGUAGUUAUCAUCUUGUACUCGUUGCCUGUGAAUGUGGCAGAAAUAGCCAGAGUUUUCAAAGGGAAAUUGGAUUGGCACAGGAAAGAAAACAAGGAAAGAGCAGGGAAAGAGAGGCUGAUGGAUUGCUUUGCUAAGGGCUGGCAUAGCCCUGAUAGGCCAAAUGGCUUUUGUGCCAGAAUUCUGAGUUGCUACAACAUUAACAACUGAAAGAUUUUCUUUCCCCCUUAUAGUUAUCUUCCCCUUGGGUUGUUCCCAGCUGUGACCGCCUUGCUGGGAACUCUGGAACAAAUCUUUCAACUAGUGGAGAUUCCAGGCCAGCCCCGGAACACAGCAGCUUUAGAACAUUCAGCCCAGAGGGAUUGUUCUACCAUUCAGUUACAUCAUGCAUUAUCUUUGUCAUAACUGCUUUCAACCUGGCUUCUGUAAUCCUUAAAUGUCCUUGCUUAAUAAAAUAUCAUGCAAUGUCGGUU